UAUUAUCAACCUCUCCCGCUUUUGUAGUUGGGUUUGGAGGUUUGGAUAUGGAGGUCUUGCAGGCGCUUUUUGAAGUACCAGCUCCUCUGAAAUACAUUAGCAGAACUGUUUGCAAUCUGUUAACUGGUGUGAUAAUUGUCUACGCUAGUGGAUUGCUCUCUGGAUGUUCAGCUUCUAAUAGUCACCCACUGAGGAGACAACUUGUAAUAUGAAC
rnacentral:misc_RNA from 1 species